rnacentral:rRNA from 1 species
AAAGCCUGAUCCAGCAAUGCCGCGUGGAUGAAGAAGGUCUUCGGAUUGUAAAGUCCUUUUGGCGGGGACGAUGAUGACGGUACCCGCAGAAUAAGCUCCGGCUAACUUCGUGCCAGCAGCCGCGGUAAUACGAAGGGGGCUAGCGUUGCUCGGAAUGACUGGGCGUAAAGGGCGCGUAGGCGGACGGCACAGUCAGGCGUGAAAUUCCUGGGCUCAACCUGGGGACUGCGUCUGAGACGUGUUGUCUUGAGUAUGGAAGAGGGUUGUGGAAUUUCCAGUGUAGAGGUGAAAUUCGUAGAUAUUGGAAAGAACACCGGUGGCGAAGGCGGCAACCUGGUCCAUUACUGACGCUGAGGCGCGAAAGCGUGGGGAGCAAACAGGAUUAGAUACCCUGUAGUCCACGCUGUAAACGAUGUGUGCUGGAUGUUGGGGUGCUUAACACUUCAAGUGUCGUAAGCUAACGCGGUAAGCACACCGCUGGGGAGUACCGGCGCAAGGUGAAACUUAAA